CCUGUUGUGGGGUGAAGCAAGUGUACAAAUUAACAUCGGCUGUGGGUUCGGGGUAGAGCUGAGUGCCGCGGCUGUUACGGCUCGUACCAUACCACGUGAAUAAUAACCGUUGAAAACGUGAAACACGUGAUGGACACAAUUAUUGAUAAUCGCCCUAUCAUAAUCAAUUAUUCAUAUAUGUACCUAGCAAUAGCUGUGAAAUGCUGCCACAACAGGCGGCAACGCCAAGGAAACAAGUGGACAAGCCAAAUUCGGACAGUUACAGCUAUUGCGUGGUGCUGCCAGAUGUGCUAAGUGGCAACACUGAAAACAUUUAAGCUGCUUGUUAAUUUUAGCAGGCAGAGAAGCAGGUUAACAAGAGGAUAAAGUCAAUGGAGUAUAAAUAAAUGCAAUUAUUGAGGUACUUACUGACGCCGUAGAAGCCGGCAUAGAAGAUCAUGAUGGAGCCGCGAUAACCGAUGACCUUGGCGACAGGAUCCACCAGAAUGGGCAAGUUGCCGCCAAUGUUGUUCAUGACAAAGAGAAAGACGCCAAUCGUCGAGGAGCGAACGCGCAGCGGCACAAUCUCAACGACAAUGGCAAACACGAUGCCGAACCACAUUUCGGCAAAAAAGUAGCUCAGACCGAGCGUUAUCAUUGCCCACAAGGGCUCAAAGUAGACGGAACCAAAAGCAGGCAGUGUGGCAAUCAAUUGGCUAAUGGCCAAAACAAAGGCACGCGAACGGAUGCCCAUUUUGGCGACAAUCUUGUCGGAGACAAUGCCGCCGACAACAACGCCGACGCUGCCAAUGCCAAUGGUGACGGCGAAUAGCCACCAGCCGAGAUCCACGUCCGGGAAAUAGGUAUUAUAAUAGAGGUCUGCAUUGUAGGCAAAGGUCAUGCCGCCGCUGUGACGUAUGGAUGCGGCUAUCAUUAGCAUUAUCAUCGCCGGACUUUUGAUGACCUGCCACAGAGUGACGGGUUUGCCGCUAGCCGAGGUGCGAUCGCCCUCGCCAAUCGAUUUGCGUUCCGGUUCGCGCAGCGUGGUGCCCGUCAGUCCGGCCACAAUGAUCGUCAGGACACCGGCGCCCAAAUAGCAUACACGCCAGCCCAUAUCGAAGAAGUUGAGCUUGGUGAUGUAGCGGCCGACGGGAAAGGCAAUGCCAUAGCCGCCAUAGAUGCCCCAGUUGAAUAUGGCCAUGACCAGGGCGCGUUUGUUCUCCGGAAAGAUGUCGGACAUGAUGCCCGUCGCAAGUGGAUUACAACCCGAUUCACCGGCAGCCAUAACCAUGCGCAGCAGCACCAAAUGCCAGUACUCCUUGACGGUGCCCUGCAGCAGAAUGGCAAUGCCAAAGAUGAUGGUGCACACGGUCAGCAUUUUGACCCGAUUGUAUUUAUCGGCCGCAAAGCCCAUAAAGACGCCCGCUAUGGUGAAGACCAGUAUGAACGUGGGCCCGGCCAAUAUCUGAUAAUCGAUGCCCAGUCCAUUGUAGUUCCAUUCGCAGUAACCAGUGCCGUUCAUGUCCAGCGCAUAGCAGCUGGUCUCGUUCUUCACAUCGCUGCACUGGGUGACCAGCUCGUGGCGCGUGAACAGGCUGCUGUUCUGCUGGCACGCAUGAUCGCCAUAGUCCAGCUCAAUGGCCGUCUGCUUGGAUGUAACGCCUAUCAGAUAGUGGCCCAGUUCGCCCAGUAUAUAGCCAAUGGUGAGUAUGCCCAGCACAUAGCUGCUGUAGAAGCCGCUCAGUUUCUCCAAGAUCGGAAUCAUCCUUCGGCUGUCAGAGCUGUUCAACGAGAUGGAAUAGUUACAGGGGAUUAGAACUCUGCACUGGUAUUUCAAUUGAUUUGUCCCAAGAGCUCGUCUUCCAGCUACAAACUUGUGUAAGGAUUUCUCUAGCUCUGGCAACCAAUCAAUAUAAACAGAUGGAAUAUAAAAGAGCUACAAGUUUUUUUAAAGGUUGGCAUUUGCAUUUUUGAGUAUGCCUUUUAUGCUACACUAGGAAGAACUAAUACUCAAUGAUUAUAGACUGAAACUUAAGGAGUUACACAGAAAAUGUAGAGCUCCGCAAUGCUAUUCAAAACGGUAAUCCUUAGACCUUAAUACAACAUAUUGUGCCAGGAUCUAGGAUACAUAAAGGAUCUACGAUACAUAAAGACUGAGGACCCAAAAAUCCACCUUAAGAGAGCCUCAAGUAAACAUGGACCUAUUUGAAGCUAAUAAUUUGCCUACUUAAUUGGGGCAAUUCUAAUGUAUUCUCAUCUAUGGAAGAUGUUUCGAAUAAAAUCUACCAAUAUAUUUCUUACCCUAUA